rnacentral:lncRNA from 1 species
AGAGCCACACCUGUGGCAUAUGGAGGUUCCCAGGCUAGGAGCUGAAUCAGAGCUACAGCUGCCAGCCUACACCACAGCCACAGCAACGCAGGAUCCGAGUCACGUCUGUGACCUACACCACAGCUCAUGGCAAUGUCAGAUCCUUAACCCACUGAGCGAGACCAGGGAUGGAAUGCACAACUUCAUGGUUCCUAGUUGGAUUCGUUUCCCCUUCGCCACAAAGGGAACUCCAAGGCUGAUAUUCUUCUUGUGCUCACCUUAUGCAAGGGCCACUGCUAUGUCUUUAACAUUGAUUAUUGUAUAAGAACCUCACAAUGACCCUUUGAGUGUUAAUAAUAAUAGGCACUAUUAUUUCUAUUUAACAGAUGAAGACACUUAAACUUUAAAUAUUAAUAAUAAUAAUCAGUUUGGUUAGAUUAUGGAUACUUAAGAAUUUAUAAUUUUUGUUUAAUAUUACUAUUUUUAAACAUGAAAACAUAUUACUUUUUUGUUGCUAUAAAGUAUAAUUAACAUAAAAUUAUUGACCAUUUUAACCACUUUUACGUACAACUGAUGGCAAUAAAUACAUUCACAAUGUUGUGCAAUCACCACUAUCCACUUCCAGAAAGUUCAUUAUCCAAAACAGAAACUCUAUACCCACUAAACAACUUCUUAUUCCCCAAACUCCCAGUCCUAGGCAACCUCAAUUCUCUUUUUUGUCUCUAUGAAUUUUAUAAUAUUUUCAAGGUUCUCAAUGAAACUAGAACAAACCCUCAUACCAUGCACAAAAACAAACUCAAAAUGGCUGAAAGACUUAAACAUAAGACAUGACAUCAUAAAAACUUCUAGAAGAGAACACAGGCAAAACAUCCUCUGACUCACCUGUACAAAUGUUUUUUUAGGUCAGUCUCCCAAGACAACCGAAAUAAAAACAAAAAAGAACCAAUGGGACCUAAUCAAACUUACAAGCUUUUUGCACAGCAGAGAAAACAAUUAAAAAAACCCGAAAAGACAACCUACAGAAUGGGAGAAAAUACUUGCAAACGAUGCAACCCACAAGGGCUUAAUCUCCAAAAUAUACAAACAACUCAUACAACUCAACAACAACAAAACAAACAACCUAAUCAAAAAAUGGAAAGAAGACCCUCUCCUGGGCUUCUAUCUGAAGAAAACCAUGACUUGAACAGAUACAUGUGCCCCAGUGUUCACUGCAGCAUUAUAUACAAUAGCCAAGACAUGGAAGCAACCUAAAUGUCCACUGACAGAGGAGUGGUUAAAGAAGAUGUAGUAUAUAUAUACAACAGAAUAUUACUCAGCCAUAAAAAGAAUGAAAUAAUGGCAUUUGCAGCAACAUGGAUGGACCUUGAAAUUAUCACACUAAGUGAGGUUAGACAGUGAGACAUAAACAUCAUAUGCUAUCACUUACAAGUGGAAUCUGAAAAAAAGGAUACAAUGAACUUACUUGCAGAACAGAAACAGACUCACAGAUUUUGCAAAAAGAAAACCCAGAAAGACACAAUUUCUAAUUCCUUGAAGGCUGGUGGAGGAGGUAUGUUGUAUAUGAAUCACACCAGAAAAAUGACUGUUUUCCUCUCUGUAUUCAACUCUCUGUCCAUUAAAGAAAUUGAGCAUGUACUAAAAAAUCUUCCUAUAAAAAAGAAACAAAAUAAAACCACAAGCACAGCUUAUUUUUACUCAGGAGUUCUUUCAAGCAUUUAAAGAACAACAACAACAACAACAAAAACAAUACCAAAUCUACACAAAUCUACCCAGAAAAUAAACGAGACUGAAAUACUUCCCAACUUAUUCUAUUAGACCAGGAUUACCCCACUAACAAAAUCAAAGACAUUACAAUAAAAGAAACUUAUCUUAUUAAAUAGCUUUUUUGGGCGUUUUCUUGUGGCUCAGUGAGUUAAGGAUCUGGCAUUGGCACUGCAGUGGCUGGAGUCACUGCUGUGCCAUGAGUUCAGUCCCUGGCCUGGAAAUUUCUACAUGUUGUGAGUGUGGCCAAAAAAUAGGUUUUUAAUAACUUAUUAGAUACUUAACUAUUUAUUUUAUUAAAUACAUAAAUAAAACAGAUGACAAAUAACUCCUGAUGGAUAUUGACAUAAAACGGCCUAACAAAAUUUUAGUAAAUUGAAUUCAUCAAUUUUUUUUUUCUUUUCUAGGGCCACACCAGAGGCAUAUGGAGGUUCCCAGGCUAGGGGUCGAAUCAGAGCUAUAGCUGCCAGCCUACGCCAGAGCCAUAGCAAUGCCAGAUCUGAGCAUGUCUUCGACCUACACCACAGCUCACGGCAACACUGGAUCCUUAACCCACUGAGCAAGGCCAGGGAUCGAACCUGCAACCUCCUGGUUCCUAGUUGGAGUCGUUAACUACUGAGCCACGAUGGGAACUCCCAAAUUCAAUUAUUUAUGGAGUUCCUGUUGUCGCUCAGUGGAAAUGAAUUUGGCUAGUAUUCAUGAGGAUGCAGGUUUGAUCCCUGCUCUUGCUCAGUGGGUUGAGGAUCCAGCAUAGCUGCAGCUCUGAUUGAACCCCUAGCCUGGGAACUUCCAUAUGCCAUGGGGGUCAAAACGGAGCUACAGCUGCUGGCCUAUGCCACGGCCACAGCAAUGCAGGAUCCCAGCCACAUCUGCAACCUACACCACAGCUCACGGCAAUGUGGGGUCCCUGACUCACUAGUCAAGGACAGGGGAUUGAGCCUGAGUCCUUAUGGAUACUAAUCGGAUUUGUUUCCACUGUGCCACAAUGGGAACGCUGGGAUCACUUUCUUAAUUUCUCUUUCAGAGAGCUUCCAUCUCUCUGUUGAAAUUCUCAGUUUUGUUCAUAACAUUCUUUCAUUGUUUAUCAAAUUGUCUAUUUGUGCACUCACUGUAUUAUACACAGAGUGUACUUAAAACAGUUAUUCUGAAUUCUUUAUCAGGCAAUUUAGAGAUUUCCAUUUCUUUGGUGUCAGUUUUUAGAAAAGUAUUGUGUUCCUUUGGUGAUAUCAUGUUUCCUUGAUUU